ACCAAACAGCUAGCUCAACCCGCAAACGACCAGAUUAACAACAUAAACCAAUCUAUCAUAAAUCGACCCCCUUCAACCAAACCAUUUGACCACCCCAGUACGGGCGACGAAAAAGGGCUAAUGAAGCCAUAGACAAAGUACCGCAAGGGAAAGCUGAAAGAGAGCUGAAAUAGAGCCCUAAAGUACAUAAAAGCAGAGACCAAACCUCGUACCUUU
rnacentral:rRNA from 1 species